rnacentral:lncRNA from 1 species
UAAAAUAUUUAAAGACUUUAAGUGUCCCGUUGAUUGGAUCAUUCCUAUUUCUGAAUGCUAGUUAAUGUGGAUACUUUAAUUUUUUGACAUUUUACAGAUUUUGUGGGAGGCCCAACAUUGGCCAUAGGCUACCUGAACAAACCAGAGUUGAACGCGGUGCGCUUUAUUCAGACUCCACCCUCAAUCGCACCAAAAGUUGGACCGCGACUUUAUCGAACUGGUGAUUGGGGUUACGCCACAGCCGACGGCUCCCUUGAAAUUUUCGGCAGAUGCGACUCUAUGGUCAAGAUCCGCGGCUACAGUAUCGAAAUAAAGGCGGUGGAGGCAAUAUUACAAGAAUUGCCGAUGGUCAGUUCAUGCUGUGUGUUGGCCGAGGGAUCGGAAGGCUCCGAGAAAAUCUUGAUCGCAUAUCUGGUCCUCAAACCCGCAGAGCCGGAAUCUUUCGAAUCAAAACAUCUGGAGACUUCCUCAAAGGCUAUCACACGGAAAAUCAGGACCAUAUUGAAGACAAAGCUACCUUUCUACAUGAUACCGUCACUCUUCGUUUACCUGCCCAGCAUACCUCUGAAUGAAGCCUCAGGAAAACUCGACAUUAAAGCUCUGCCAAAAUGGAGCGAGAAAGAGGAAGCACAACUAAUCGAGGACGAUUGCUUGAACGCCACAGAAAAACGGGUAGCGAAGAUCUGGUGCAAAGUUUUGAGAUUGUUCACAGUUGACUCUGAAGAGAGCUUCUUCGAUCUCGGCGGGCACUCUCUACUUGCCGCUCAGUUUGUCGGAUUGUUAAAUGAAGCUUUCAACUUGGAAUGGCCCGUUUCGGAUUUGUAUUUACACCCGACUAUAAAAUCAAUAGCAAAAAGGUUAGAUGAAUCAAGUCUGGAGAGCUCUUCGGUGGAUUUAAUGAAAGAAGCCGCCUCAUUCAAAAUCGACACGGAAAACUUAGACUUCAAACUUCGUGUGUUUAGAAAAUCUAACAGUUUUAUUAAUCGAAAUACAAUUCUUGUAAAGUCCUUGUCACCGGAGCUACCGGCUUCUUAGGAGCAUUUUUAGUCGACCAGCUUUUAAAUCUACGAAAGUAAGUUUCAUUAUCACAUCAAUUUUUGCCCCCAACAGUACACAUUGUAUAGACAAAAUCACACAUAUUUUCAGAUGAAUUGAGAU